CCUACGGGCGGCUGCAGUGAGGAAUAUUGGUCAAUGGGCGUAAGCCUGAUCCAGCCAAGUCGCGUGAGGGAUGAAGGUUCUCUGGAUCGUAAACCUCUUUUAUAAGGGAAUAAAGUGCGGGACGUGUCCCGUUUUGUAUGUACCUUAUGAAUCAGGAUCGGCUCACUCCGUGCCAGCAGCCGCGGUACUACGGAGGAUCCGCGCAUUAUCCGGAUUUCUUGGGUUUAAAGGGUGCGCAGGCGGAAGAUCAAGUCAGCGGUAAAAUUGAGGGGCUCAACCUCGUCGAGCCGUUGAAACUGGUUUUCUUGAGUGAGUGAGAAGUAUGCGGAAUGCGUGGUGUAGCGGUGAAAUGCAUAGAUAUCACGCAGAACUCCGAUUGCGAAGGCAGCAUACCGGCGCUCAACUGACGCUCAUGCACGAAAGUGUGGGUAUCGAACAGGAUUAGAUACCCUAGUAGUC
rnacentral:rRNA from 1 species